rnacentral:rRNA from 1 species
AUGUACCCUACAUCCACUCCCUCCUGCACUCCAUUCGGCGGGCGCAACGUCCCCUAUAGCCACUCCCCUUUCAUGGACGGCCUGGUCGAUGCCUGCAAGGUUCCCUGCGUCUACAAGAGUUUCGGCUGCGAGAGUGUGUUCCGGGACUGCCCUUAUCCAGAUGAGAAACUUCGGAAGGACCUUAGCGAGAGGCUUGGCAUGAGUGCCCAGCAGGUCAAGUUUUGGUUCCAAAACAAACGCACCUUCAGUAAGGGCAAGAUGCAACGGUGGGAGACCCAAAAUCAUUGGGUAGAAAAUGAGAGGCUAAAAACUGAACAUCAAGCCAUCAUGUUGGCUAUGCAAAACAAGACUUGCCUCAAAUGCAGAGGGGUGAUGGUACAAACUCAGGAUACCUCGGAGCGCCAAUGCCUAUACACCGAGAAUAUGAGGCUCAAGGAAGAACUCCUACAUGCCACUACCUAUCUUAAAGAAGGUCUUCGCCGAAAUGGCAUGUCGCUCCCACGGGCCCGCAACUGA